GAUGAACGCUGGCGGCGUGCCUAAUACAUGCAAGUCGAGCGAACGGAUGAGAAGCUUGCUUCUCUGAUGUUAGCGGCGGACGGGUGAGUAACACGUGGAUAACCUACCUAUAAGACUGGGAUAACUUCGGGAAACCGGAGCUAAUACCGGAUAAUAUUUUGAACCGCAUGGUUCAAAAGUGAAAGACGGUCUUGCUGUCACUUAUAGAUGGAUCCGCGCUGCAUUAGCUAGUUGGUAAGGUAACGGCUUACCAAGGCAACGAUGCAUAGCCGACCUGAGAGGGUGAUCGGCCACACUGGAGCUGAGACACGGUCCAGACUCCUACGGGAGGCAGCAGUAGGGAAUCUUCCGCAAUGGGCGAAAGCCUGACGGAGCAACGCCGCGUGAGUGAUGAAGGUCUUCGGAUCGUAAAACUCUGUUAUUAGGGAAGAACAUAUGUGUAAGUAACUGUGCACAUCUUGACGGUACCUAAUCAGAAAGCCACGGCUAACUACGUG
rnacentral:rRNA from 1 species